UACAGGGGGGGCAAGCGUUGUUCGGACUUACUGGGCGUAAAGGGUCUGUAGGUGGCUCGCUAAGUCAGACGUGAAAUCCCUCAGCUUAACUGGGGAACUGCGUCUGAUACUGAUGAGCUUGAGUGCAGGAGAGGAACGCGGAAUUCCAGGUGUAGCGGUGAAAUGCGUAGAUAUCUGGAGGAACACCGGUGGCGAAGGCGGCGUUCUGGACUGCAACUGACACUGAGAGACGAAAGCCAGGGGAGCAAACGGG
rnacentral:rRNA from 1 species